UACUCAGUAUUUACUUUUGGCUUGGAUCAUUUAAAUUCAAUUGUGAAAAAUAUUUUUUGAACACUUAAUGGACUAGGGAAAAUUGCCACCACCCUUGAGGUUUCUUCCACUAAUGCUGUUGUUGGGCAAAGAGAGCAUUCCUUCCCCCUGUUCUGGUCUGAGGAGGGAUACUCAGGUCUCCUCCUUUGAAGAAUCCAGAGUACUGGGCAUAUGGGAAGUCCUCCUGACUUAGAUUUGCUUUUAGUAAUGUUUCACUUGGAGGUAGCAUGGAAGAGUUUUUAUGUGUGUUGAGCAGAUAGGCUGGUGGUUACACAUGCACCCAUACACUCCAUAGUAUUUGAAGGGAUCCCAGCACUGUAAUUAAUAGGCAGCCUGAGGUUUUGUUGAGAAGCUCUUUAGGAGCAAAACAGAUAGGCUACCAAUAGCAACUUCUGACCCACUUUGAAAAUCCCAUCCUUAUAAACCCCUAAUUUAGAUCUAAAUGGUAUGAGAGAUCAUGCAAUAAGUUAGGAUUAUAACAUCUAAUUGGGAGAUGGAACACUUAAGUUCUGUAACAAGCCUUAUAAAUGGUUUAAUUUGCAAGCUGCAGUUGGAGAAAUGGGAGGGCUAUUAUCUGUGCUGAUUUCAUAUAAACUUAGAUUUCCCACACAUAUCUUUAUGUAGCCUUGUUUUUAAUCAAUGGAGCUUUUCAAACUCAAUUAUGUAGACCGAUGAGGUUUAUCCUUUCUAAUUAAAACAAUUCAUGAGAUGCAGGUUUAGGGGUAAGGCUUAGGGUUUCUUUUCUGAAGAGAUGGUUUCUUGUGCGGUCUGAUCUGUUCCUCAUAUUUAUUUAUUUCUGUCAACUUUGUGCUAUUUUAAAUUUCCACUCAAGUUUAAGACUUAGAGAAGAGCGGUUUUACUGAAGAAAUGCAGAUUAUUUGAAUAUUUUUACAUGAUAAUUUUAUAUUCUUAGCUUGGCCACUUUAGGAGACCAUAGAGUUUAUAUCUAUUGUGCAGGGUUCUUCCCCCCGCCCCCCUCCUCCCACCCACUCCCUUUUCUUUUUUGAGAGCCUAGUCAACAGAUACUUUGAAUCUGUAGAGGAGAAAAUUGCAACUCUUGAAUCUGUCUGAAAUCACCUUUAGGACCAUGAACCUGGAAAAGUGAAAUGCUACAGAGGUAAACAGUGUAUGGAUUAUGGAUAGAGUGAAAUCAAGAAGCUGGUUAAAAAGGAUGAUACAUUUUUAAUUAGCCCACAGUGCUUUUCCUUCUAAAUUAAUUAGACACUGUUAUGUAAAUGUCAUGUUAAUUAAGCAAGAAAAUGGAAGCGUUAUAAAUCUGCUAAAGGAAUGGCUAUUUUUGUGUAUUAAUGUCUCACAGUUACUUCAAAUGGGCUGAGGGUAGAGUAUUUGAUUAUUGAGCUUCUGUCAGUUUUUAGCUGACUGAGGCUUUGAUAGUCCAUUUUUCCUAAUUGAUGUGUUUCAGCACAUGGUUUAACUAUGGCCAAUGAAGGAUAGUGGAACCAGGAGCCAGAAAUAACCAAUCAUCAAAGCUGUUUCAGUACAAACCUUUCAGAGUAGAUUAUUGAUCUCAUUCUCAAGGCAAAGGAGAAGCAUAGUUUUUCUGUAUUUACUCAGCCUUUGACUUUGAGAGCCUGAGUAUUGGUCGCCUAUGUGUAGCUAUCCUCCAAACAAAAUUCUGCCACUUCACUUUGAAAUAAUAAGUAAUGAUAUUUU